UGGGGAUUGGUGUAACGGUAACACGCUUGACUCUGAAUCAAGUAUUAUAGGUUCAAAUCCUAUAUCCCCAGCCA
rnacentral:tRNA from 1 species